rnacentral:rRNA from 1 species
AUACGGAGGAUCCGAGCGUUAUCCGGAUUUAUUGGGUUUAAAGGGUGCGCAGGCGGCCAUUUAAGUCAGCGGUUAAAUCGUGGGGCUCAACCCCAUUCUGCCGUUGAUACUGGGUGGCUUGAUUGCGGUCGAGGUUGGCGGAAUUCGUUGUGAAGCGGUGAAAUGCAUAGAUAUGACGAAGAACACCGAUUGCGUAGGCAGCUGACCAGAUCGCAAAUGACGCUCAUGCACGAAAGUGCGGGGAUCGAACAGGAGUAGAUACCCUGGUAGUCCGCACAGUAAACGAUGAAUACUUGUUUUCGGCGAUAUAAUGUCGGAGGCAAAGCGAAAGCGAUAAGUAUUCCACCUGGGGAGUACGCCGGCAACGGUGAAACUCAAAUGAAUUGGCGGGG